UUUCCUUAUGGCGAUCCCAGGUGUUGCUCUUAUUCUAUUGUUUCAAAAUUCGGGAUUCGACAUGCUAAAUUUGCAAUUAUGCAGUUCUACUUUGUGAUCGACUCAAUGAUGGGAAUAUCAUGCUUAUUGCCACAGAAUCUUUCUGUCAACAAGUUGCGACGAAACUUUCACAUCUAUGCGGAUUAAAAAAACUGCAGAACUUUCUUUCUUCUGUUUCUUGCUUAUCAUUGCAGACAUGUUAAAGAUGUGGAACAAUAUGGCUCCCGCAUUGUCAGGAAUUCAUGAUAGAGGUUUAGAUCUAGCGAUCUAGUAUCCUGCAGUUAAAAGCUCUCACAUAAAGUCAUAUCUCAGCUCGAAUUGAAAGCUCAAUCGGCGAACUGAAUGAGACCUUACAUUUUCACCAAUCAUAUAGUACUAUUAUAUAUUGCCCCACCUU